rnacentral:rRNA from 1 species
CUACGUGCCAGCAGCCGCGGUAAUACGUAGGUGGCAAGCGUUGUCCGGAAUUAUUGGGCGUAAAGCGCGCGCAGGCGGAUCAGUCAGUCUGUCUUAAAAGUUCGGGGCUUAACCCCGUGAUGGGAUGGAAACUGCUGAUCUAGAGUAUCGGAGAGGAAAGUGGAAUUCCUAGUGUAGCGGUGAAAUGCGUAGAUAUUAGGAAGAACACCAGUGGCGAAGGCGACUUUCUGGACGAAAACUGACGCUGAGGCGCGAAAGCCAGGGGAGCGAACGGGAUUAGAUACCCCGGUAGUCCUGGCCGUAAACGAUGGGUACUAGGUGUAGGAGGUAUCGACCCCUUCUGUGCCGGAGUUAACGCAAUAAGUACCCCGCCUGGGGAGUACGGCCGCAAGGUUAAAACUCAAAUGAAUUGACGGGGGCCCGCACAAGCGGUGGAGCAUGUGGUUUAAUUCGACGCAACGCGAAGAACCUUACCAGGUCUUGACAU